UUCAUUAUCUGUGGCUCCAGCCUUUCAUCUAUCUGGUGUUCCAGCCUUCUGUCUGUCUGUGUGCUCCAGCCUUCUAUCUCUCUGUGUGUUCCAGCCUUCUAUCUAUCUGUGUGUUCCAGCCUUCUAUCUCUCUGUGUGUUCCAGCCUUUCUAUCUCU
rnacentral:lncRNA from 1 species